rnacentral:tRNA from 1 species
AACUUUUAAAGGAUAACAGUUAAUCCA